GGCUGGACCUUGAAGGGUGGAGUCUGGUGGGAGUUAGCUGGCUAGGUCUUAGGCACUGUCCUCAGUGAGAUUAAGAUUGCUCUCCAGUGACAUUUAAUUAUCUCCUGAGAGGAAGUUAUUACAAAUGAGUGAGCCUGACUCCACAGUCCCUUACUCUCCUCCUCACUUUCCAGCUUCUGUCUUGCCAUAAGAUCUCUCCUUUUCUCCCAGACAUCACCAUGAUGAGACAUACACAGAGGGGCUUUACCCAAGCAAGCUCCAUGCUGUUGCUGUUGCCUCCAAAACUAAGAAGAAGAGGAGGAGGAGGAGGAGGAGGAAGAAGAAGAAGAAACCCUUGCAAUGUUUUGAUAACCAAACUAGCGUUUCAUUCCUGAAGGUUUGGAAAGGCCCCAGGAGAUUUUCAAAACUGCUCUCUGUGUCUCAUUAUGAACCCCUAGCUGGCCUUGGACUCAUUAUAUAGACCAGCUUGGCCCUGAAUUUAGAGAGAUCUGCCAGUCUCUGCCUCCUGAGUGCUGAGAUUAUUGUGCCACCACACCUGACUAAGAAUAAUAAUUUUAACUGAGAAAAUUACAUGAAACUUGAAUUUCAGUGUUCAUGAAUAAAACUUUAUACCUGUUCAAAACCAAGUCUGUACACAUUCAAUCAGAUGCAAUUUUAUGCAAAGAAUUUCCUGUAUUUGGUUUAAUCUGCAGAUACAGAAUAAAAAUAUGUGAAUACAGUGAA